rnacentral:siRNA from 1 species
UUUACCUACUUGAAAUGUCA